CAACUCUUUCUCUCUCCUCUCCCCCGAUCUCUCUUCCUCCGGUUCGGCCAUUUUUCUUCUUCCAUCAAAUUCCGGCGAUUCCGGCCACCAACCGGCGUGCCACCGGUCACCAGAGGAGCGCCUCCUCCCUCCGAGCACCCUAGCAACCGGGGUUUGGGACGAUUUGGCCGGAAAACGCAGAUCGAAGCAAAAACCUCCUCCGGCUGCAGUUUGAUACUUUUGCCGAUUCCCGGCGAUUCCGGCCACCUCCGGUCCCCAUCUUUCUGUCGAAGGACGUGAGGAGGAUUUCCUCGAGGAGGGUUUGGAUCGACGGCAGGCUUAGCCGUACUUAAUCACAGUGCUGUGGACCGGCAUAGGAGCGGAGGCUAGUACCACCUUUGUCAUCCAUUCUCAGUAGGUUAUUGAUUAACCUACUUAUUGUAUUAUAUUCCGAGUCUGUUCCUUAGAUUGCUCUGAAUACUUGUUGAGAGUGGAUUUAUACAUUUGUAUAAUUAUGUGUGUAAGAGAGUGGUUUAUUUUGGGAGAUUGUUGAACGAUUGAGUUACGGGGUUGUAUUUGUUUAAGAUGUUUUGGUUGAAGCAGGGCGGCUUCAAGCGUAGAACUUAAAUUAUUUUGAGGAGUGUUUUCAGCAGGUUUAGGGUUGCCCAUUUUUAGGG
rnacentral:lncRNA from 1 species